rnacentral:rRNA from 1 species
AGAGUUUGAUCAUGGCUCAGGACGAACGCUGGCGGCGUGCCUAAUACAUGCAAGUAGAACGCUGAAGAGAGGAGCUUGCUCUUCUUGGAUGAGUUGCGAACGGGUGAGUAACGCGUAGGUAACCUGCCUUGUAGCGGGGGAUAACUAUUGGAAACGAUAGCUAAUACCGCAUAACAAUAGGUGACACAUGUCAUUUAUUUGAAAGGGGCAAUUGCUCCACUACAAGAUGGACCUGCGUUGUAUUAGCUAGUAGGUGAGGUAACGGCUCACCUAGGCGACGAUACAUAGCCGACCUGAGAGGGUGAUCGGCCACACUGGGACUGAGACACGGCCCAGACUCCUACGGGAGGCAGCAGUAGGGAAUCUUCGGCAAUGGGGGCAACCCUGACCGAGCAACGCCGCGUGAGUGAAGAAGGUUUUCGGAUCGUAAAGCUCUGUUGUAAGUCAAGAACGAGUGUGAGAGUGGAAAGUUCACACUGUGACGGUAGCUUACCAGAAAGGGACGGCUAACUACGUGCCAGCAGCCGCGGUAAUACGUAGGUCCCGAGCGUUGUCCGGAUUUAUUGGGCGUAAAGCGAGCGCAGGCGGUUUGAUAAGUCUGAAGUUAAAGGCUGUGGCUCAACCAUAGUUCGCUUUGGAAACUGUCAAACUUGAGUGCAGAAGGGGAGAGUGGAAUUCCAUGUGUAGCGGUGAAAUGCGUAGAUAUAUGGAGGAACACCGGUGGCGAAAGCGGCUCUCUGGUCUGUAACUGACGCUGAGGCUCGAAAGCGUGGGGAGCGAACAGGAUUAGAUACCCUGGUAGUCCACGCCGUAAACGAUGAGUGCUAGGUGUUGGAUCCUUUCCGGGAUUCAGUGCCGCAGCUAACGCAUUAAGCACUCCGCCUGGGGAGUACGACCGCAAGGUUGAAACUCAAAGGAAUUGACGGGGGCCCGCACAAGCGGUGGAGCAUGUGGUUUAAUUCGAAGCAACGCGAAGAACCUUACCAGGUCUUGACAUCCCGAUGCUAUUUCUAGAGAUAGAAAGUUACUUCGGUACAUCGGUGACAGGUGGUGCACGGUUGUCGUCAGCUCGUGUCGUGAGAUGUUGGGUUAAGUCCCGCAACGAGCGCAACCCCUACUGUUAGUUGCCAUCAUUCAGUUGGGCACUCUAGCGAGACUGCCGGUAAUAAACCGGAGGAAGGUGGGGAUGACGUCAAAUCAUCAUGCCCCUUAUGACCUGGGCUACACACGUGCUACAAUGGUUGGUACAACGAGUUGCGAGUCGGUGACGGCAAGCUAAUCUCUUAAAGCCAAUCUCAGUUCGGAUUGUAGGCUGCAACUCGCCUACAUGAAGUCGGAAUCGCUAGUAAUCGCGGAUCAGCACGCCGCGGUGAAUACGUUCCCGGGCCUUGCACACACCGCCCGUCAA